CCACAUUCCAGCCGUUAUGAAAGUGAAACUCGAGGAGUGACAGUUGCAUCACUUUUACUGUUCACACCAGAGCUUUAGAUUGCCGGUAGACACUAAUCAUAGAGUGAUGACAAGAAUUCUGCUGUCAAUGGGAGAAACACCUACUACUUGACACAACCCAGUUUCACUCCUCUCCUCUCCAUCUCCCUCAUCCAACACACACUAAACAAGAAAAUGAUGAAGAAAAGUACCAGAUUCACGCAACACGCUGGUCAUGAGAAAGUAGCAAGAAGUCACCAGGCCUAGUCGUGGCAGUCUCUGUAUGAAACACCACCAAUCCUCCCCUUCCAUAAAUGUCUAAUAAAUC